UGAAUGCGCACAAUAUUGUUAGGGAGGGAAGUCAAGCAUUGGGGCCCAAUGACAUUGAAGAAGUGAGACUUUUCCAAAUCAGGCUGAUUGGAUAAGAAGAUUUAAAAAAGCAUGGACAGGAUCUACUCUUCAGCAAGCUGUUAGUGUUGGACAAAAUGGAUUCACACUCUCCAACCUGGUGAAGAAAUGUUUAUUCCAUUUUUUUUUAUUCCCUCAUGGUGAGACAGAGGUAGGAUUUGGAAUGAAUAAGAUGAUAGCAGAGUGAAACCCCAAUGGAGAUGAAGACAAGCCUGAAGAAACGGAACAAUUUUGAAUUUUUCUUCACAACAUUGUGCAAUCUCUAAUGGAUUCCAACUGAUGCAAGAGACAGGACUAAUGAUGGAGUCAAGGGGAAGAAAGCAAUGUUAGUGAUGAGAACAGAACACUUUCAUUUUUCCAACUCCUACUGAAUUGGAGAAAAUUCUGGCUGAAAUUAUAAGACUUAAAAUCAGACAGGGUUUUAGUCAGCAGUGAGAGAAUGCAGUUGAGUCUCAUGAGCAUACAGGUGGAAUCUAAUUGAAGCCUACAGAAGUCAUCAAGGGCAACAGGAAGAUUAUAAUCAAAGAGUUGGAAGAUUGAUCAUCGGGAAUCUAAAUCUGGAUGUUUGCUGAGUCGUAGAGACUCUGGAUUUCAUCUUAAUGAUGAGUGAGACUCACAUUUGUAAAUACAACUUCAUUUGAAUGGAUGCAAUUUUCACCAGUAGAAGAAAGGGGAUGGAUGUGACCCAUAAGGGAAAUGUGAACUCUGUGACACGUUGAUUGUAGA